GACAAGGUGGCCGAUGGACUGCUAAUCCAUUGGGGUCUCCCCGCGUGAGUUCGAAUCUCAUCCUUGUCG
rnacentral:tRNA from 1 species